ACGGCUAAAGCAAAACUUGUCUACAGAAGGACCCUGGAAUGUUUUCAGUUUGGAAUAAUUGUUAAUACAGCCACUCUAAACAUUCACGUAUGGAUUUUGAGAGGGCAUAUAUGUUUGUUUAUCUAAGUGUAACCUUAACAUCGAAGACCCAAGAGCCUGUUUCUACAGAAUAAAAUCACAUUUGAAUUUAUGGACAAAAUCGUGGACUUCUGCUGAAGGAGAAGAUCGGCUUCUGAGAAAGUUUUGUAUAUGUUUCGAGGAAAUUAUUCUAUACUGUAGUAUUUUCACAACUACCACCGUUUUCAAGGCUACCACUGAGUUGAAGUAUGGGGG